UACGUAGGGGGCAAGCGUUGUCCGGAAUCAUUGGGCGUAAAGAGCGUGUAGGCGGUUCGGUAAGUCGGCUGUGAAAGUCCAGGGCUCAACCCUGGGAUGCCGGUCGAUACUGCCCGGGACUAGAGUUCGGAAGAGGCGAGUGGAAUUCCCGGUGUAGCGGUGAAAUGCGCAGAUAUCGGGAGGAACACCGAUGGCGAAGGCAGUUCUCGUGGGCCGUAACUGACGCUGAGGAGCGAAAGCGUGGGGAGCGAACAGG
rnacentral:rRNA from 1 species